rfam:Triticum aestivum genome assembly, contig: Triticum_aestivum_CS42_TGACv1_scaffold_145902_2BS
AUAGUACUCCCUCCGUCCGGAAAUACUUGUCAAAGGAAGGAUGUAUCUAGACAUAUUUUAGUUCUAGAUACAUCCAUUUUUAUGCAUUUUUGCGACAGUAUUUCGGACGGAGGGAGUAUCUA